AUGAUGUUGAUGUUGGUGAUGAUAAUGAUGAUGAUGAUGAGUACAUGCCCCCUGAAGAGAGCUUGAGGAGCCCCAGUUCAGUUACUGAAGCUGCCAAUACUGGGAGAAGAAAUGCCGAAGAAUUCAGUUUUGAGUCCUCCCACCAUGACAUGUCAGAAAUAAGUGAGAAGCCUGAGGUUGAGGUCACCAUUGAAGAAGAUGAUGACGACUAUCCACCACCUGACAAGAGGCAGAAGAGCACCAAGUCGGCUAAUGAAGGGGCCAGUACUGGGAGAAGAAAUGCAGAAGAGUCCAAUUCUGAUUCCUCCCACGAUGACUCGUCAGAAGCAAGUGAGGAUUCUGAGCCUGAAAUCACUAGUCAAGGUCAGUUCUGCAGGUCAUUGAUUACAAUUUUUUGGGCAUUUUUCUAUCCAGAAUGCGUUUUCCACAUAUUGCACUACUUGGCACUGAAUGAAGAGAAUUGUGUGCUGGUAUUGAGUAUAGUUUGGAUUGUGCACUGCUUGGUGAACGAACCUGGUGGUGAAGUAUUAGAAAACAGGUAA
rnacentral:lncRNA from 1 species